GACUGUGGAAAGAAUGCCUCUCCCCCAUGUGACAUAUGGUUCUGGCAAUGUCUUUUCUCCAGAGAUGUAGGCUUUCAUUAUGGAGAAGACUCUGGGCACAUUUCACAGUUUUUACUCUUCCUCUGUGCCUGCCAGAGGCAUGAGUGUAUCUUUCUCAAAUAUUCAGUGUGAAAACCUGAUGAGAUUCCAGAAGAUAAAGACUUCAAUUUCUAGAAGUUUCUCCAUCUCAUGGUAGUCCACCCUGACCUCCAGCAAUUCAUAUAAAAUGACCGGUUUGUUUCUAUUCUGAUUUCCCUGAUAAGAGCUAGAAACUGGUGCUUAUCCACAUCCCUCCUUUUUGACUUCAAUUUUGGAUCUUGUCAAAGUCCGGAGAUAAAAUCAAGGUGAAAAAUAGGUGAAUAGAGUCUUUUUUCCUCUGAAAAGCAACGAAACCAUACCAGUCAGGGCUUACCAUCCAAGUAUGCCAACACAUCACCGCGGCAAACCCAGAUUCGUUGUCCAGGUCAGGUGUGAAGUGGGUCCAAGACUGGAGAGCAAUGGCUGCAACCCCAAGUCACUUUUGUGAGAAGUCCAUGGAACACCCAAGUGCACAUGGGGAAAGGCCCCAUGAAGGAAAAGAGCAGAUGAAGGAGGAUGCCCACAGUUCCUCUGGAAGCCAACUGUCCCGAUGAGAAUAUGAAAAUUGCUAGUGGAGUCAUCUACUUGGACCUUUCUGUAUUACUUUCAUAAUCUGCAUUGGAAGCUGAUGAAAUAACCUGCUGGCACUGAUAACCUGAUUUGGCAACAGCCCUCCCUUUUUCUAAAACAGAUACUUCCAUUUUAGAAAUGUUAAAACACAUUCAGCUGCUUCUGUGUCACAGAUGCUCAGAGGAAGAAGAGAAAGCAAGUGUCCUGCUGUGUGCUUGUGCUCAUUCUCGACAUCUGCAGACCCAGCUGAGAGCACCUGCAUUAUUAGCUUUAAGGCUUGGAGACACCUAUAAACUAAAAGGCAGAGUGUCGUCAAUUUCAAAGUGAAAGUACCCUUUGGAGAGCCAUAGUGUUUGUGUGUUUGUAACAUGCAUAUUAAAGUCCCCAUAACGUAGGGCCAAACGCUGCGAUGUGAUUCAGGGGCUGCAUUACAGUUGCACGUUUACGGUUGUGAGAACGUUAAAGAACCUGUGAAAUCCCCACCUUCACCUUAUUUUCCUAUUCAGAAGAUACAAGAAUGGUGCCUGAAAAUGAAAGGCCAACAAUACUCAGACUAUGAAUACAGAAAACGUGUGGCUAUGUUCUUCGCAGCGAUGACUCCAGAAGAAAUUGCGGGCUCUGAUAUGGAAAUAUGACAUUUUUUCUAAACAAAUGCUAACGAAGGAGAGAAUACAGUUAAUACCAUGUUAAGUCCCUGUAAAGCAUCACUUCUCUACAAAGCAAAGUUACUGAGACAGACUCAAAGAGCAAAUGAUUUUCCUGAACGUUUAUAUUUUCAAUAUGCACAUAUGCAAAGCUGUGGGAGAACAGAUGGAAAAAUAAUUGAACAUAUAUGACAGUGGAUUACCGUAUAGAUUACAUCUGAAUGUAUUACAGAUCAAUGAGGAAAAAUAAACAUAAUCAUAAAAAUAGUCAAUGGACACAAAUGCAAAUCCACCAAAAUACUUAUCUGUCCUAUGAAAAAUAUCCAAUCUUCUUAAGAAAUUGUAAACUAGGGGCACCUGGGUGGCUUAGUCGGUUAAGCGUCCGACUUUCCCUUAGAUCAUGAUGUC